CUACGGGAGGCACCAGUGAGGAAUAUUGCACAAUGGGGGGAACCCUGAUGCAGCAACGCCGCGUGGAGGAUGACGCAUUUCGGUGUGUAAACUCCUUUUAUAUGUCAAGAAAAUGACGGUAGCAUAUGAAUAAGCACCGGCUAACUCCGUGCCAGCAGCCGCGGUAAUACGGAGGGUGCAAGCGUUACUCGGAAUCACUGGGCGUAAAGGACGCGUAGGCGGGCUUGUAAGUCAGGUGUGAAAUCCUACAGCUUAACUGUAGAACUGCACUUGAAACUUCUAAUCUAGAGUAUGGGAGGGGGAGAUGGAAUUAGUGGUGUAGGGGUAAAAUCCGUAGAUAUCACUAGGAAUACCUAAAGCGAAGGCGAUCUCCUGGAACAUUACUGACGCUAAGGCGUGAAAGCGUGGGGAGCAAACAGGAUUAGAUACCCUAGUAGUC
rnacentral:rRNA from 1 species